rnacentral:lncRNA from 1 species
CUUUUGGUGGGUUGGAAAAUCUGAAGUGGUUUUCCCCAACUUGGCUGCUACUCAUGAUGAGAAAGGGACUUUUCUCUGGAUGGAGCAGGUGGGCUUGAUCAAAACCUUUGAAAGCCACCACGAGGUUCUGUGUCCAGAGACAGUUUCCAGAGCAGGAUAUGGAGCAGAGCUCGGCCCAUCCACUGGCACCAGUGUGCUGCUCUGCCCCAGUGCCAUUGCCCAGCCCGUGUCCUUGGGGAGCUGUGUCCUGUCCCCCAGCUAAGAUGGCAUUAUCCCAGCCCCAGCACUCUCCCAAGCAGAUUAGCUGUAAGACCUUAAGACAAAACAGCAGCUACGCACCCCACACUGCACACUGCUGAGGAUGCCUGCCCUGAAGACCCUGCUGGCCCUGGCCAUCGUCACGUCCCUGGCUGGAGAAAGUAAGUGUCCCCUGGCUCCAGGCAGCACAAGGUUGGGUAAAUCGCUGUAGCUGCUCUUGCGCUUGCUGCUGCCCUGUCCCUGUCACCUGCCUCGGGCUGGUGUGUGCCCAGCGGGCCCCUGCCCCACGCUGCUCCCACCCCUGCAGGAAAAUAACGUUUUGGGGAGGAGGGUGGCUUUCUCCUCUGACUAGCACCAAGAGAAGCCCCUGUCCCUUGCCUAUCUGCCACUGGCACAAAGCCUAGGCAUGCUGUGCCCAGCAGGGAGCACAGAGUCUCUGGUCUCCAGCUCUGAUGGAGGCUCCUGAGCCAAGACCCUGCAGCUUCUCUUGGCUAGAGCUGUGUUUCCCUGUUAACUCGUGGUUCCUCCAAGGCAUAAUCACAAAAAGCCAUUGUAAAAGGUAGGGGGGAAGCUGCACUGCUCAGAGCAAUGCCAUGGAAUCGGGGCAGCUCUGGACACUUUCAGGAACUUUGGACCUAGGCAAGAAGAACACGACUGUAUUUUUAGCUCAGGGCAGAUGAAAGGCUGUCCCGUGCUGUGGGGAACAGCAAAGGAGACACGGCAGAGCCCAGCAGCGGAAGCCGGGCCAUUGUGGGUUAAUGGAAGGCGCUUACUGGCAUCUGACCCCAUGAAAUCCCAAUUUUCCCCAUUCACGGGUUUUCUCUCCGAGAUGAAGGUGGAAGCUCUGGGCCGAGCCGGCCCCGCUGCCACGAGAGGGCUCUGCUGUCAGCAAAGCAGAGACGAGUUCCACCUCCAGCACCAGCGCUGGUUUAUCCGGCCCCAUCAAAACCGAGGAUUCGUCAUUUCAGGCAGGAGCAGGAUCUUCAGGCA